CGAAUAUUCAGACCCUUUAUUAGG
rnacentral:siRNA from 1 species